rnacentral:rRNA from 1 species
UACGUAGGGGGCGAGCGUUGUCCGGAUUUAUUGGGCGUAAAGAGCGUGUAGGCGGCCAGGUAGGUCUGCUGUGAAAACUCGAGGCUCAACCUCGAGACGUCGGCGGAAACCAUCUGGCUAGAGUCCGGAAGAGGAGAGUGGAAGUUCCUGGUGUAGCGGUGAAAUGCGCGAGAUAUCAGGAAGAACACCCGUGGCGAAGGCGGCUCUCUGGGACGGUACUGACGCUGAGACGCGAAAGCGUGGGGAGCGAACAGG